rnacentral:rRNA from 1 species
AUUGAACGCUGGCGGCAGGCCUAACACAUGCAAGUCGAACGAGUGGCGGACGGGUGAGUAAUGCUUGGGAAUCUAGCUUAUGGAGGCGGAUAACUACGGGAAAAUGUGGCUAAUACCGCGUACCAUAGGAUGGGCUCACGUGGGAUUAUGGAGUUGGUGGGGUAAUGGCCUAUCAAGCCGACGAGCCCCAGCCGGUCGGAGAGGGUGACCACCCACACUGGGACUGAGACACGGCCCAGACUCCUACGGGAGGCAGCAGUGGGGAAUAUUGCGCAAUGGAGGCAAGCGGACGCAGCAAUGCCGCGUGAAUGAAGAAGGCCUUCGGGUUGUAAAGUUCUUUCGGUGACGAGGCGUUAAUCACAGAAGAAGCACCGGCUAACUCCGUGCCAGCAGCCGCGGUAAUUC